AGCUUUGCACAGUGGCAGUAUCGUAGCCAGUGAGGUUUAUCCGAGGUGCGAUUAUUGCUAAUUGAAGACCAAUAUUCUGA
rnacentral:snRNA from 1 species